rnacentral:lncRNA from 10 species
CGGAGCUACCCUCUUUCUUUGACGAAUUGUCCUCUAUUGAUAGAAAUUGCAUCAUCAGGAAGUGACACAGCCCUCACCUGAGUGUGACCCACAGUCAAUGAGCGAUUGAUAUGAGGAACAGAAUCCAGCCCCUCUGACUCAGUGGGAUACACCUCAAAGGCUGAUUUAUGCCCUGCGGCUUUCUCCCUGGGUUCAGACCCCAGCUAGACUGUACCUGUGACCACACGCUGGAUCAAAGGCUGGGUUGGUGUACCCAGGUCACAAUCACUGAAACAGAAAAAAAAAAUGCCAGCGUAGAUGCUUAAUUUAAGAAAAGAACUCCUAAAAUUAACUCUGCAACAUGCCGUCUCCAAGCCCAGCCCAGCCCCUGCACAGCCUUUCAUUCCCUGGAGGUCUUCAGCAGGAGCAACACAAUUGCCUGGAGGUGGAACUGGGAUUCCAGUUAUUAAAGAGAAGCAAGGCCAAGAGAAAAAUGUGAAACCUCUGACCUUACACUAGACUUUUCUGAGGUUAUAAUUUAAAGAUGGGAGAAAAGGACAAGGAGUACAAGAUACACAGAAUAUGUGUUAUACAUCCCAAAGAAAGUCACGCUCCAUCCAAGGACGCAGUGCCCAUGACAGCCAUCACCCAAGGGCCGUAAUGGGGCAUCUCCUGUAUCCAAGGCCUGGGAAGAAGGAUACAAUAUGAAAUUGACACAUUGGGCUGAAACAACUGCUGAGCCACAUUUCACCAUUUUUUAGAUUCCAAGACCAACAACCAACAUGGCCAAGGAUCAUGUUAAUCAAACAGCUUAUCUUCCCAUUACAAAAUGAGGAAAAAGUUAACGCAAGUUUAUGUGAAUUUUUAAUAUUUCUAUUUUUUAAUAUUGAAAUAUUUAAAAUACACAAAAACAAAAAAAGAUAGCAAACACCUAAUUAGACAUCACCUUGUUACAAAAUAUUGAAAAGUUGACUAGUUACCAUAAUUAUUUCAAAUCUUUAAAAAAUGAUUUAAUGCCAGCUUUUACAACUGAUCUCUGAUUCCAUUUUUAAAAAUCACUACUUUUCUGAAAUUUAUGUUUAUCAUUCCUGGCAUUUAAAUUUUGUAUUGUAUGUGUUCAUGUACAUAAAUAAUAGAGUAGUCUUGUGUGAUGUUAAAUUUACAUGAAUGGCAAAUUAUUCGAUGUUUUCUUUAGCAACAUGUUUUUCCAUUUCAAUAGAACAGAAAAGCAAUUUUUAAAAUUAUUUUUAAGAAAUUCAUGUAGAUAUAUGUGGAUAUGAUUUAUUCAUCUUAACUACUCCAUAAAAAUUUCAUCACAUGGGUGCAUCCCAAUUUUUUAGCAAUUUCCCUAAUGAUAUAAAAAAAUUUAGGUUGUUUCAAAACAUAGAAUUAUUUAUACUAGUAUAUUCACAAUUUUCUAAUAUUUACCACCCAUCUGGAAUACAUUCUACUGAGGAUAUAUGUAUCUAUAUCUCUCUAUAUAUACACAUACACACAAUAAUAUAUAUUCAUAUGUAAUAUGUAUUAUAUAUAUUUAUCAAGUAAUAUAUGUGUGUGCAUGUAUAUACACAUACAUAUGUAUUUAUAUUUUAAAUAUUGUAUUAGUUCAUUCUCACAUUUCUAUAAAGAAAGACAUGAAACUGGGUAAUUCGUAAGGAAAAGGGGUUUAAUUGGCUCACCGUUCCACAAGCUAUACGGGAAACAUAGCAGCAUGUGCUUCUGGGGAGGCCUCAGGAAACCUACAAUCACAGCAGAAGGCAAAGAGGGAGAAAGGCAUCUCACAUGGCUGGAACAGGAGGAAGAGAGGGUGAGGGGGAGGUGCCAAACACUUUAAAACAACCAAAUCUCAUGAGAACUCACUCACUAUCUUGACACAGUUCCAAGGGAGAAAUCCGCCCCCAUGAUCCAAUCGACUCCCACUGGGCCUCACCUCCAAUAUUGGGGAUUACCAUUUGACAUGACAUUUGAGCAGGGACAGAGAUUCAAAGCUUAUCAAAUACAGAUUUUAUUUAGCAUUUAUAUUUAUUUAUAAUUGAAUCUGGUUUGCUAACAUUCAGAUAUUUAGGUCUAUGGUGUUUACUGAAACUGGCCUUUACUUUUCUUGCACAUACUGUCCUUGUCCAGUUUAGAGCUGGGCUAUCCUAGCCUCCUAAAUGUUGAGAUGUUUUCCUGCUCUUUUAAUUUUCUGAAAUAAUGUGUACAUGAUAGGAGUUAUCUAAUUUCUGAAGGUUUGGCAAAAUUGCCAGUCAAGUCUUUUGUCCUUGGUACAUUUUGUGAGUAGUUUUGAGAAUUAAUCUAGGGCUUAUAUUAGGUUUUGGUUUUUCUUUGUAUCAAUAUUGGUGAUUUGUUUUAAAAAAUUGCCACUGACAUAAAAUUUUUUCUUGAUAUUGGCUUAUAACUUUUAAGUUCUGUUCUAUCUUUAGCUAUGUUUCUAUUUUUAUUCAAUUUUAAUUUAUAACUGCCUUUGAUUGGUUUUGCCUGAGGUUAGCCAAUGUUCAAACAUUCUUUACAAAGCACCAGCUACACUUGUUUCUCACCCUCUUUAAGGGUAUUUAUUGUAAAUUUCAUUAACCUCUUAUCUUGUUAUUGUUUUAUUUCUUCCAUUUAGUAUGUUCCACUAAUUUUUUUUUCUAAUUCAGACUCAAUGCUUGGUUCAUUAAUUUGUCAUCUUUCUUCACUAUGGAUUUGAGACAAUAAAGUUUCCUAUAGGAAUAUGUUAAACUGAGUCAUAAGUGUUUUAGUAUAUAACAUUUAUAUUAUAAUUUGGUUCCAAAGUUCUUAAGUUUUAUUAUAAUUUAUUUUUUGACCUAUGAGGUAAAUAAAAGUGUGUUAACA